UACGGAGGGUGCAAGCGUUAUCCGGAUUCACUGGGUUUAAAGGGUGCGUAGGUGGGCAGGUAAGUCAGUGGUGAAAUCUCCGAGCUUAACUCGGAACUGCCGUUGAUACUAUUUGUCUUGAAUAUUGUGGAGGUAAGCGGAAUAUGUCAUGUAGCGGUGAAAUGCUUAGACAUGACAUAGAACACCAAUUGCGAAGGCAGCUUACUACACAACGAUUGACGCUGAGGCACGAAAGCGUGGGGAUCAAACAGG
rnacentral:rRNA from 1 species